rnacentral:rRNA from 1 species
ACGGUAUGGGGGCAACUCCAUAUAGUGGCGCAAGGGUUAGUAAUAUAUGGGUAAUCUGCCUUUUACUUGGGAAUAACGUUUGGAAACGAACGCUAAUACCGAAUGAGGUGACCUGGGGCAUCCCAAGGUCAUCAAUGCGGGGGAUCGAAAGGCCUCGCGGUGGAAGAGGAGCCCAUACGAUAUCAGCUAGUUGGUGAGGUAACGGCUCACCAAGG